UUGGCAUCUGCCUGGCCUCAGUGGCCCUGUCCUACUGGUACCUGUAUGACAUCCACGGCUUACUUCUGCGAGGUGAUGCUCGCUGUGGGAGUCCAUGAUGAACUUGAACUGGAAGUUCCAGGCAAGCAUGUGGGCCCUCUUCAUUUAUGACACCUCCAUCCUUGUCAUGGGACGCAUGUACCUGUGUCUGCAUGGCUGCUACCCACUGCUACUGCGCUGCCUCAUCUACACGCUUUGGCUCUGGCCUACUUGUGAGAGUUCGCCCCUUGCUGCAUCCUGCACCAGUUCAACACCUGCCUCUGGAAGUACUCCCAGUUCCAUUUUGACUUCAUGGGCCUAUCACCCUGGAGUAUGCUGUGCCCUGGUUCUGCGAGUCCCUCAUCAUGGAACAACUCCAGCGCACUCUGCCCCUGCUUCAGUGACACCCAGCCUGGGAAGCCUAGUGGACCCCUGGCCCUGGCCAACAUCCAUGUCAAGACUG
rnacentral:lncRNA from 1 species